AAAAAGUCAGAGGGCGUGAACCGCUGAGAAGGAAGCGGAUAGAGUUGACGAAACACAGUGGCAUUCAUCCAAUCAGUGGUAUGNAAUGCUGUAUAGUUGUACUACCAUUUCGGUAGCAGCUAUAUGGUCAUGUUCGUACCCCUUACUUGGUUGGUGCUUUUGCCAUUGGUAUGCGCUGAGAGGUUCGCUGUGGUGCGUUAAUGCCGAUUCAAAGAGGACUAUGCUCGACUGAGUGUAGAAACCUUUGGCCGGUUGUGGACGUAUUCAUGGUGAAUUGCCGACUUCGCAGUAACAUCGCUUGCCAUUUUGGCGCAGUCGGCUGUUACGUGGCUAUAAUAAUUGUUGGCAGUCGCGUGCGACUUGCCUACAGUUGAUUGUGGCUCGUCGACGGUUCCUUUCGAUUGCGUUGGCGAUGUGUCUCGGUGUAAAAGUUGACCACCUAUCCGACCCGUCUUGAAACACGGACCAAGGAGUUUAGCAUAUGCGCAAGUCAUUGGGUGGCAAACCUAAAGGCGUAAUGAAAGUAAAGAUUGCUUUAAUGCAGUUGAUAUGGGAUCUACAUAGGGAUUAGCCUCAAAAACUGUACUAUGUAGCGCACCAUAGCCCCGUCCCCGUUGCUUGCAAUAGGGCGGAGGUAGAGCGCAUACGCUGAGACCCGAAAGAUGGUGAACUAUGCCUGAGCAGGAUGAAGCCACGAGGAAACUCUGGUGGAAGUCCGAAGCGGUUCUGACGUGCAAAUCGAUCGUUCUGA
rnacentral:rRNA from 1 species